UCUUCAAUUGAAAAGCUUCAGUGUUUCAGUGAUUCGGUUUCUUGCAAACUUAUAAGGAAAAGCUUCAUUGUUUCGAUUUCUUGCAAACUUACAUAAACCAUACAAAGAAGACGGAGAAGGUGGCCAGACAUUCGGAUUCUGUCGUCGAGGGAAUCAAUAUUUAAGGGUUUUCGAUCGUUUCAUUUUUCUUCAUCGUCGCGAAGUGCACCAUUGGCAUCCACUCCUGUACGGGAACGGGAUUUCAGUUCCUCCGAGGAGUUGAUUACAGAAUUUUGUCAAGAAUGCAUGAUAGUUCGUAAAGGGUGGAAUGGGGAUCUAAAAAAUGCAAUGAAAGAUGGAAAACCAAUUAUAAUCGAGGUCAAUGAGUUCAAGUCUAUUGAAAAGUUCAAAAUUUUCGAUACAAACAAUUUGUGGGUUAACUGAAUGCUAUCAAGAGGCUUGUGGAAGCUGAUGCACUCAAGAUGGAGAUCAUUCCAAACCCGAAGGAGGUCAAUGGAAUCAAGGUUUUUCAACUGGAAACUGUAGCUGGUGCAGCAAUUAGGUUCUUUGAUCAUGCUAUUGGUAUCAACGUACCUCAAUCACAAUUCCUUAUACGUCUUGUUCAUGAAUUUCCAUUUUAAUAUGUCUUCAAAUUAAAUUAUACAUUUCUA